rnacentral:tRNA from 1 species
AUUACUUUGGCAGAAUAGUGUAUUGAAUUUAGAAUUCAAUUAUAUAAUAUGUAUUAUAUAUUAUAAGUAAUA